GGCUCCCUAAUGAAACAACUGACUUGUGAGGAAGUACAUUCACAGCUAAAAUUAAUAGUGUGCAGUGUGCUUACAACCUCUGGGACCAAAAAGAUGCGCUUUAUACAUGUGCAGGGCACCUUACCCCUCAAACAGGCCAGGCUGACAGUGAAGCACCAGGCAGGCCAUUUGCUGUCCAUCUACAAAAUUCCAGCUAGAUUUAAAAAAAAAAAAAACAAAAAAAAAGAUUUUAUUUAUUUAUGAUGGUUGUGAGCCAUCAUGUGGUUGCUGGGAAUGAAGGUUGCUCACUCUGACCUAAAGAUUUAUUAUUAUAUCUAAGCUGUCUUCAGACAGCACAAGAAGAGGGCAUCAGAUCUCAUUACAGAUGGUUGUGUUGCUGGGAUUUGAACUCAGGACCUUCGGAAGAGCAGUCAAGUGCUCUUAACCGCUGAGCCAUCUCUCCAGCACUGCCCCCUGGCCCCCAGCUAGAUUUCUUGCACAAGAACUCUUACAGCUCUUUGGCUCAGCAUCACCCAGGAUCUCAUUUGUUAGGACUUUCCUGCAAAAGGGCGGGUCCUUGUUGGAUUUUUUUUUUUUUAAUCAAGUGAAACUAUUUCCCCCGUAGGCAGCUGCCUCAUGAAGGGUGAAUGGAAAUCCAGGAGCUGGAAUCCACUUCCUGGUGGAGGAGGGUUUAGGAAGGAGCUCAUUCUUGGCCCCCUCACAACGUGGUGGAGGAAGUCUGAUGUGGGUGAUUUGUCCUCCUGGGUUGGGUACCAGUGACCUUUUUAAGAACUGCAUGACACACUAGAUUGUCAUGUUCUGCUUACUCCCUAUUUUUUAGCCAAUUACCAGAUGAGGAGGCGGUAACUGGGUGUGGAUUAUAGGUAUGAAAUUGGGCUAAGUUUAUUUGCCAUUGAAUUGACUUCCCUCCUCCCAGGACAAGGUAUGUUCCCAGCUGUUAGGAGAUCUGUGGGAGUAGAGAGGAUGAGGCCCCCGGGGCAGAAGUCAUCUGGAAGGCAUGUUUUUGCUGUUUAUGCAAAGCAGAGAAUGUUGUCACACAGUGUAUCUGUUUGCAGAUAUAUAUUGGUGGAGUGCAUGUAGAUGCAUAUUUAAGUCCAGCAGGCCGUGUGUGUGUGUGUGUGUGUGUGUGUGUGUGUGUGUGUGUUGUGUGUGUGUGUGUGUGUGUGUGUGUGUGUUCUGAGCCCCCAGCAAAGAGCUUGGCAAUAGUUCAUCACGCUGGACCUACACACCUACAGCUCUAACACCUCUCAAGAAACAUCAUUUUAUUUCUUGGGCCUUUAAACAUGGUUAAGUCCUUGGUCUGUGUCUACGACAGCCAGAGAGAAUGAGCUCUAGAGGACGUUGCAAGGUCACAAGUGUUAACGGGAUUACGUAAGUGCUGCCACUGCCCGCCCUGUUCCUGUGCGCUCAUGGAUUACAGGACGCUUCUGCGACUCUUCUACCUUUGCCUCUUUUCACUAUACUUCUCAGUACUGGUGUAUGCUGUCUUUGAUCCAGUGAUAUGUAACCUUCCGUGCUCCCCAACCCUCUCCGUGCAGAAGAGAGAUCAGAAGUUAUAACCAUCUGCCAAUCAGAGCUCAGUUGGGUUUAAUCUCGGCCUGCAGUGCUUUUGCUAUUAUAUGGAUAACCCUGGUGCUUUACAGCAUGUGGGCAGGUAAACUGUGCAUGUAAUCAAGUAUUACACCGGCUAUGUGUGCCACCAGAUAGAAUCAGGGUACAUGUCACCAAGUAUUGCAGUGGCUCUCUGUGCCGCAAGUCACAGAAUGAGACAUCCAAGCAAUGACAGAUUUUUUUGUUUUUGUUUUUUUUUUUUAAGGAUUAUUUUUCACAAUGUGUAGCUUGGUCUUGUGGGACUCCUAACAGUGGGAGCAGGGGCUGUCUCUGACUCUUUUGCAGGCUUUUGGGACCCUUUCCCUCAUAUUGGGUUGCCCCAUCAACCUUAAUAUGAGGGGAGGCGCCUAGCCUUACUGAAAUUUGAUAUACCAUAAUUUGAUUGAUAUCUAUGGGAGGCCUAUGCUUUUCUCAAUAGAAAUGAAGGCAGAGUGGAUGGGGAUGGACAGAGGGGAGGUGGGAGGCAGGGCCUCGGAGGAUAGGAGGGAGGGGAAACCACAGUUGGGAUGUAAAAUAACAACAACAACAAUAGAUUAUUUUUAUUUUGUGU
rnacentral:lncRNA from 1 species